rnacentral:rRNA from 1 species
AGUGAACGCUGGCGGUAGGCCUAACACAUGCAAGUCGAACGGCAGCACAGGAGAGCUUGCUCUCUGGGAGGCGAGUGGCGGUCGGGAGAGGAAUACAUCGGAAUCUGCCCAGUCGUGGGGGAUAACGUAGGGAAACUUACGCUAAUACCGCAUACGACCUUCGGGUGAAAGAGGGGGAUCGCAAGACCUCUCGCGAUUGGAUGAGCCGGUGUCGGAAGAGCGAGUUGGCGGGGGAAUGGCCCACAAGGGCAACGAGCCGUAGUUGGCCUGUGAGGAUGAUUAGCCACACAGGACCUGAGCCACGACCCAGACCCUUACGGAAGGCAGCAGGGGGAAAUAUGGGACAAUGGGCGCAAGCCUGAGCCGGCCAUUCCGCGUAGGUGAAGAGGCCCGUCGGGUUGUAAAGCCCUUUUGUUGGGAAAGAAAUCUUUCAGUCUAAUACCCUGGGUAGAUGACGGUACCCAAAGAAAAAGCACGGGCUAACUUCUG